GGGAAUGUGACUCAAUGGUGGAGUGCUUGCCUAGCACGCAAGAAACCCUGGGUUCAAUUCCCAGUACCA
rnacentral:tRNA from 1 species